AAACUUUCAACAACGGAUCUCUUGGUUCUGGCAUCGAUGAAGAACGCAGCGAAAUGCGAUAAGUAAUGUGAAUUGCAGAAUCCAGUGAAUCAUCGAAUCUUUGAACGCACAUUGCGCCCCUUGGUAUUCCGAGGGGCAUGCCUGUUCGAGCGUCAUUA
rnacentral:rRNA from 1 species